GACGAACGCUGGCGGCAGGCUUAACACAUGCAAGUCGACCGAGCGGCGGACGGGUGAGUAAUGUUUGGGGAUCUGGCUCAUUGAGGGGGAUAACUACGGGAAACUGUAGCUAAUACCGCGUACUAUAGGAUGAACCCAGGUGGGAUUAGGUAGGUGGUGCGGUAAAGGCUCACCAAGCCGACGAUGUCUAGCUGGUCUGAGAGGAAGACGACCCACACUGGGACUGGGACACGGCCCAUAGUCCUACGGGGGGCAGCAGGGGGGAAUAAUGCGUAAUGGGGGAAAGCUGAUGCAGCGAAGCCGCGUGAAGGAAGAGGGCCUUCGGGUUGUAAAGUACUUUCGGUAGUGAGGCGUUACCUACAGAAAAAGCACCGGCUAACUCCGUGCCAGCAGCCGCGGUAAUUC
rnacentral:rRNA from 1 species